AACGCGUAGGUGACCUGCCCCGAAGUGGGGAAUAACUGCCCGAAAGGGUGGCUAAUACCGCAUGUGGUGCCACGUUCAUUCGUGUCUCCAAAGCCGCAAGGCGCUUCGGGAGGGGCCUGCGUCCGAUUAGCUCGUUGGUGGGGUAAUGGCUCACCAAGGCGACGAUCGGUAGGUGGUCUGAGAGGACGAUCACCCAGACUGGGACUGAGACACGGCCCAGACUCCUACGGGAGGCAGCAGUCGGGAAUUUUGCUCAAUGGGCGCAAGCCUGAAGCAGCAACGCCGCGUGGGGGAUGACGGCCUUCGGGUUGUAAACCUCUU
rnacentral:rRNA from 1 species